rnacentral:piRNA from 1 species
UGCCUCUGCCUUCUGAAUGUGA